rnacentral:rRNA from 1 species
CCCGCUGAACUUAAGCAUAUCAAUAAGCGGAGGAAAAGAAACCAACAGGGAUUGCCUUAGUAACGGCGAGUGAAGCGGCAAGAGCUCAAAUUUGAAAUCUGGCUUCCUUUUUGGGGCCCGAGUUGUAAUUUGCAGAGGAUGCUUUGGGUGUGGUCGCGGUCUAAGUCCCCUGGAACGGGGCAUCAUAGAGGGUGAGAAUCCCGUCUGGGACCGCCGGCCCCGCGCGUGUAAAGCUCCUUCGACGAGUCGAGUUGUUUGGGAAUGCAGCUCUAAAUGGGUGGUAAAUUUCAUCUAAAGCUAAAUAUUGGCCGGAGACCGAUAGCGCACAAGUAGAGUGAUCGAAAGAUGAAAAGCACUUUGAAAAGAGAGUUAAACAGCAUGUGAAAUUGUUGAAAGGGAAGCGCUUGCGACCAGACUCGUCCGCGGAGGCUCAGCCGCCAUGCUUUGGCGGUGCACUCCUUCGUGGUCGGGCCAGCGUCGGUUCUGACGGUUGGUUAAAGACUCUCGGAAUGUGUCGUCUCUCGGGGCGUCUUAUAGCCGGGGGUGCAAUGCGGCCUGUCGGGACCGAGGAACGCGCUUCGGCACGGACGCUGGCGUAAUGGUCGUAAGCGACCCGUCUUGAAACACGG